rnacentral:tRNA from 1 species
GGGGAUAUGGUUCAGUGGUAUAGUGCUUACCUAGAAUGUGAGAGACCCUGAGUUCAAUCCCCAGCACCACCA